rnacentral:rRNA from 1 species
UACGUAGGGUGCAGGCGUUAAUCGGAAUUACUGGGCGUAAAGCGUGCGCAGGCGGUUUGCUAAGACAGGUGUGAAAUCCCCGGGCUUAACCUGGGAACUGCGCUUGUAACUGGCAAGCUUGAGUGUGGCAGAGGGGGGUGGAAUUCCACGUGUAGCAGUGAAAUGCGUAGAGAUGUGGAGGAACACCGAUGGCGAAGGCAGCCCCCUGGGUCAAAACUGACGCUCAUGCACGAAAGCGUGGGGAGCAAACAGG